AAGGAUUAGAAACAGAAAAAAAAAUCCUAUUUUCUUUGAACACAAAACCCAGAGGGGAAAACCUCGACAGAGACCACCACCCAGAUCUUCCAUUCUUAUCGUUCGCAUAGCUACAGUUGGCUGCAUCUUCUUUCUUUUCAUAGAAGACUUCUUUUAUUCCAUCACUGGAACAAGUAUACAGAGCAAAAAUGCUAAGAAUGAUAGAGAUUUUGAGAAGUAUGUGUAUUGGGGCAGUAGAAUUGACUGUCCUGGGAAGUACUGUGAGUCUUGUGAAGGCCUUGGCCACGCCACCUGGAGUCCAGCCUCAGGUCUGCUCUUGAGGAAGCAAUGUAUCUUCAGAGAACCUUUGUAAUGCCUUCUAGAAUGUGCAUCAAUCCAAUACACAAUAAGAAGCGGAUUCUUCGCCAGUCCAUUGAUGCCAGUUCAGAAGAAAGCUAGCUCUUGCUCGAUGCAUUCCUUGUAUGAUCUUGAUCUCGUAUCAGAAACGGUACCUGUAAUUUUGGAUAACUCAAAACAGUGGCAUCAGGUGCUAUUAACAAGCAUGAAAUUCGGAUCCAGAGGGAUUGCCAAUGUGCAAGGAGUUAACUGGGAGGACCUCAGAUCAAAAAGUUUGUAUUCAAAUAUUUUACUCAUAAAUUGAACAGCAAGUCCUCUGUCAUGGUAAUUUUAAUACUUCUGUACUGCCUUUUGCUUUGCUUUGUUCUAAACAUUCUCCAUCCUUCUUGCAUUCAAUUAUUUGUUUACAAAUGAUCAAUCUCUAGGAUUUUGUUACACACUGUUGAAGGCUCUUUCAAUCUUGUUUUUGGGUUGGUAAAAGAUCCAAGUUUUGAGCUCUUUAACUUGUUGAAUGGUGCUUGGGUUGGUCGUUUACUCUCUCUCCCUAAGUUUAGGUAUUAAUCAUGGUAAUCAUUCAAGUUCAUGGAGUGCAAGCAUCAGAAUAACCGUAGUGUUAUUCUCUUGCCGUAUUCUUUUCUUCCUUCAAUGGCUGGCAAGAAGUUGAAGAUUGCAGCAGAAAAUGUUGGUUUACAGUGAUAUAUGCAGUAUUUUGUUCCAUUUUCUGUUUCCUGUCAUUAUUGUCAGUGACUGGUGAAACAUGAAUUGCUGUGCCGUGGGAUUUUCCCUUAUCCUAGCAAUUUAACUUGUUUGCAAAUAACACUCUUUUUAUAAGCAUACUAUCUUUUCCGGUUUAUGCCCAUGCAAUUGGUAAAGUUUGUCUUACUAUUUUGCCUUUAACUUACCCACUUAUCAUGGUAAUGUUUUCAAGUGUUUGACAAAGCAGGACCUUACCCACUCAUGUUUAUGAUACUUAGGGUUAGCAAGGGGCUAAAACAUAAUUAAGUGGAGGGUGUAUUCCAGAGUUUUUAAGUUUUUCUUUUUUUCCUCCUUUUAUCUGUAAUAUACUUUUCUAAUCAUUUGUUGAGUUGUUUUGGGGUCUUGUUUCGUGGUCUUAAGUAAACCGUGUGAGCUUUAGACCUUGGAAUGACAUGAUUCUAAGUUAUGCACUACCGCAGCCUGUGAUGUUAAAAUUGGACCACUUCUUGCCUCUAACCUGAGAGUCAGGUAGCUUGUAGAUAAAGAAGAAUAAACUUCUCUUUAAAUGUAAGCUUUAGACUGAAGCAAUUCAAGUCAUUUUGGAAAAAUUCCCACCAUCAGGUUAGUUAAAUAAUCAAGAAGUCUUUUUCUGGUCUAAUCCUAGCCCUCCUCGUGCUUUAAUUGUUUAUGACAAGUUUUAUAUCACCUAAUACUCAUUUAAAGUCUCUAACUAAUUGGAGUCUCUUAAUUGUCUGAGAGCGCUGCAUUCAUCGGUUCUUGCAAAUUGUGUAAGUAAACUUAACUACAAGCUUACCUUUAGGCUGAAAACUAACUUCAUUAUUGUCUAAAAGUGGAUGCAAAAAAAUCUUGAUCAGUUGAUCUUGAAGGUCUUCAAAGAGCCUAUUAAGAAGUUAAGAGUUGUUCCAACUUUCAAACUCUGUAUCUUAGCCAUUCUUGAUUUUUGAAUUUGAUGCAUUGUAAUAUAUGGUUUAUUUGGAUAGUGAAUUAUUUGCCAAAAUUGAUUUGCUUGCAUUAUCAAUAUAUUUUUCAACCAUCAUUUUACCUCACAUACAUCACAUCAAAAAAGGGCUACAGUAUUUUUCAAAAAAUUAUUCCAAAUAAUCUACUAUUCAAACACACUAAUACUUUAUAUCCAUUAUGCACUCUAAGUUGUUUUUGGUUGUUUUAGUAAAUGUACAAUUACAGCGUGGCUAUUUUUUUUUCCAUGUUCUUGUUGAUCUAAGUUGGACAUGAUAGAAGCAUUGCAUAUGUUUCUGUUGAUCAUCUCCUGAAGGUGCUGCAUAUGGUGUGAACUUUGUUGACAUGGAGAAUUGUUGCCAUGAGUUCUCCCCUUCCCUUCCUCUGCUGUAGCUAAAGAGGAAAAGGACAUAAACAAAACAAAUCAAAAAAGGGAGGAAAGAAAAGAAAGUUCUGUCAAAUAUGGGAACACAAUGGCCUGUCAUAGGUGUGAUGCUUAAUAAUGCCCUCACAUAAAUGUGUUUUGCUUGGUAUUCUUUUCAUAGAUAAUCGAUAAGCUGUCCUUACGUUUGGAAGCCAAAAUUUAUAUGCUCAUUACAUUAUUUGCACACUGCAAAUGUUUCAUUUCUUUCUUGAGUUGACUAUCAAAGUUUGGUUUGAUAAAAAGACUAGAACCUGGGCCUGUAGUAAACUUGAUGUUGAGGGUGCCGUGGAUCUUGUUUGGAAAAACUGGUCAUGAUAUCUUAAUGAUAUGUAAAAGUUCUAUUCCUAUUGGAAGAUUUUUGGUUGGUGCUUCUAUAAAAAGUUUGAAAUAAGAUGUUCCCCUUUUGUAGUUAUUUUGGUGAUGGGACUUUAAAAAGAGUGGUUAUUUCUACCAUUCACUGCUCCCUGGGAGGGUAGACAUUAAUGUCGUAAAAGCUUGACUACCGCAAUUUGUUUUAAGGUGCAUUGUCACUUUUCGUAAACAGGUUGUGAACUUUUAAUUUUUCUAAAAAAGUAACAUUUCCUUUUCCUGUUUGACAGUUGAAGCUUCUAGAUAUGGCCGUAAAUGACCACUGGUGUCAGGUUGGAAAGUCAAGCGUAGGCACAAAAAAGGUUUUGGACGUGCUUCAUUGACGGGGGAUAUGCCUGUUCAAAGUCAAUAUAUGAAUAAGGUGCUUCUUGGUGAUUAUGAUACUAUCCAUGCCAGAUGAGGUAAUAAAUUGAAAACUCGUAAGGAUAGGUUUGGCAUUAAUCGGUCUUUGUAUCCUUAUCUUGACAGGGAUACCCAUCCAAAAUUUAUUUCCUGUGGAAUUGCAAAAUGGGUCCCACCAGGACGAACUUUUUUUAUUGCUUCAAAUGAGAGGACCCCAGGUGUCUUUGCCCCUCUUGCUUCAAGGUAUAUUACCUUCCACUCUGAUCCUUCUGAACUCUAUAUGAUUGCUGUCUCGGGAGUAACAGUAGAGCAAAAUUUUUGUAUAUCAAAUGAGAUUAAGGUACCAUUGUUGGCCUUUAGAAAUGGUCUAUUGUUGUGGAUUCCAAUUUGACUGACAAAAUCAUGUACUAAUGUUAACUGAUUCAUUCAUAAUAACAAGCAUACUUAUGGAGCUCUGAAA